UCAAGAAGCCUGGAGGUAGCGACACCGU
rnacentral:piRNA from 1 species